rnacentral:rRNA from 1 species
CAGCCGUAAACAAUGUGCGUUAGGUGUGUCGGUAACCACGCGUUACUGAUGCGCCGAAGAGAAAUCGUGAAACGCACCACCUGGGAAGUACGGUCGCAAGGCUGAAACUUAAAGGAAUUGGCGGGGGAGCACCACAACAGGUGGAGCCUGCGGUUUAAUUUGGACUCAACGCCGGGAAGCUCACCGGAUAGGACAGCAGAAUGAUUGCCGGGCUGAAGACUCUGCAUGACUAGCUGAGAGGUGGUGCAUGGCGUAGACGUCU